AUCAAGUCUGACGCAGAGCUGGCCAUAUUUCUCCACAACAGAUCACCUGUCUGGUUCCAGUCUCAGUACCUGGACAGAAGAUUCCAUCCCCUUCGUCCUUGGGCCAUCCAAUCAUGCUCCUCAUCUUACUCAGAAGAACCUCUUCCAUGAGUAUGAACACAGGCGCCACUUCGUAGUCAUCCUGCCAAAGGGCUGAAAACGACACAGGUCUUACAUGUUAGUGUUAGCGGUUGAGGUCAACCAUUCCCCUGCCAGGCCAAUGAUGUCAAGGCCAGAUGACAGCUGGUUGAAGAAGCGCGGGUGCCCUGGGGUGGACGAUGUUUAUCAUGUGAGGGGUAUCUUGGCAAUCGACAAGGAGCUGCUCAAGGUUCUCGGGCUGGUCAGGGAGCUCUAAGGUGAAACCGUCCAAGCUCUCCUUCAGUUGAUGGACAUGAUGAAAGUCCAGCACUUUAGAGCUCCUGUUAAGAGAUUUGCAGA